GACGAACGCUGGCGGCGUGCUUAACACAUGCAAGUCGAACGGAAAGGCCCUGCUUUUGUGGGGUGCUCGAGUGGCGAACGGGUGAGUAACACGUGAGUGACCUGCCCUUGACUUUGGGAUAACUUCAGGAAACUGGGGCUAAUACCGGAUAGGAGCUCCUGAUGCAUGGUGGGGGUUGGAAAGUUUCGGCGGUUGGGGAUGGACUCGCGGCUUAUCAGCUUGUUGGUGGGGUAGUGGCUUACCAAGGCUUUGACGGGUAGCCGGCCUGAGAGGGUGACCAGCCACAUUGGGACUGAGAUACGGCCCAGUCUCCUACGGGAGGCAGCAGUGGGGAAUAUUGUACAACGGGCGGAAGCCUAAUGCAGCAACGCCGCGUGCGGGAUGACGGCCUUCGGGUUGUAAACCGCUUUCGCCUGUGACGAAGCGUUAGUGACGGUAAUGGGUAAAGAAGCACCGGCUAACUACGUG
rnacentral:rRNA from 1 species